rnacentral:misc_RNA from 1 species
AACCAUAUCUCCCGUGGAUUUCAAGCAUCUAUUACAAUAUAAAAGUAUCAAAUAUGCAGAUUUUGUUGAUGCUGCGUUUGGUGAGAAGGCAUCAAACCUAAUGCUGGGUUGCUGUGUAAUAGUUUUGGGUACAGGAAGUAACACCUCUUCGGACGUUAUCAAAGUUGACGAGUCGACUAUAGCCAUUGGUUGCUGGAAAGGGAGGGCCAGUCUGAGUGUUAUGGUGACA